ACAUUUUAAGGCAACAUUUGUUUUAUGGGACCGCGAAUGUGAGCAAUUGAUUGGCAAAAGUGCGGCUGUGCUACGUGCUGAGAUGCUUGAGGCUGGAAUAACCGAUCCUCUGGAUUAUCCAAAAGACAUCGAUCUAAUUGCUGAGAAAAAUUUGGCUAUUAAAGUUAAAUGGCAACCCAAGUAGAAAACUGGAUCAGUGAUCCAAAUCAAUCAAGGAGAUGACUUUAUCAAUGAAAUUUCCUCCCAAUUUCCACCUGCUGAUGGUCCACAAGGACAGCUGAAAAAUGAUAAAUCCAAAUUAUUGAUUGAGGACAAUACCACUGUUGAAUCUGUAGUACAGAAGAAAGUUGAAGCCGAGCCUACUACUACUGAUGCAGAUGUUGCCGAUGGUGAUGACAUUGUUAUACCGACUACACCAUCAAAUAGGUCAGGAAACAACCUUAUGUCUACUUCCCAGGAUGCUGAACUUGAAGAUGUCAUUGGAGCAAAGGCAUCAUCCACAAAAAUGUUGAAAGUUGUUGCAAUUACAUGUAUGAAGUUACUUGGAAUCACGAUGUUGAUCAACCUCGACUAACAACUGGAUGGACAGAGAUUCAUGAACAUUUGGAGUUGCAGUUCCAUUAUCAUCUUCUUGGUUUAGUUUAUUAUGGAGACAUCAUGUUUCAUUUGCUGCUUAAUCCAACUAGGGAUUCUUCAACAUAUGGAUUCCCCUCAUUUCACUCUCUAUCUACUAAACCACAGGAUCCAUUGACUUUUGAGAUUGCUAUUUCUACUGACCCUAAUAGCACAAGACAAUUAAUUCUAAACCAAGAGUUGGGUGAAUACAUUACUUCUUAUCAUGAUUACUUGCUACUUGAAGGACCAGUAGCUGAGCCAAUGUUAUCUCCAAUAAUUAAGUCAGUAGGUCAAGACCAAGUGACAAUAUAUGAAGUGGAUGAUUGGCCAAAUUUCUGCAGAAAAAACUGUUUCACUAAUGGAGAUGUUGUCAAGUUCACUUUCUUUAAUAUUGAAAAUAGUAAUAGGGUUGAUGUUGAUUGGGUUAGUCAUUAAUCCAACAUGUCAUUAGGUUUAUGUGUUUUAAGAAUGCGUUUUAAUCCAGCUUCAUAUUUGUC